UACAGAGGUGGCAAGCGUUGUUCGGAAUUACUGGGCGUAAAGGGCGCGUAGGCGGCCUUCUAAGUCAGACGUGAAAUCCCCCGGCUUAACCUGGGAACUGCGUCUGAUACUGGGAGGCUAGAGUGCGGGAGAGGGAUGCGGAAUUCCAGGUGUAGUGGUGAAAUGCGUAGAUAUCUGGAGGAACACCGGUGGCGAAGGCGGCAUCCUGGACCGACACUGACGCUGAGGCGCGAAAGCUAGGGUAGCAAACGGG
rnacentral:rRNA from 1 species